rnacentral:rRNA from 1 species
UACGUAGGGGCCGAGCGUUGUCCGGAUUUAUUGAGCGUAAAGAGCUCGUAGGCGGCUUGUCGCGUCAACUGUGAAAACCCGUGGCUCAACCAUGUGGUCUGCAGUCGAUACGGGCAGGCUAGAAUUCGGUAGGGGAGACUGGAAUUCCUGGUGUAGCGGUGAAAUGCGCAGAUAUCAGGAGGAACACCGGUGGCGAAGGCGGGUCUCUGGGCCGAUAUUGACGCUGAGGAGCGAAAGCGUGGGGAGCGAACAGG